ensembl:antisense Ube4bos2 ubiquitination factor E4B, opposite strand 2
GUUUUUCUCACCCGCCUGGAAAAUGUCAAGUAGACACCGCUAACUGGCCAGCAAGCCUGAAGGGUCUCACUGUCACCACUACCUCAGCAGUGGGAUUACAACUGGGUGCCACCCCGCCUGGCUUCAGCCCCACCCCCCAGGGGAAGGGCAAACAGCUGGAAUGGCAGCUACAGCCCAGCAAGUUCCCUCUGGGCUGCUGCUGCACUCCGUGCCUGGUGGAGACUCUGCAGUGGGCUGAUAUUAUGCAGGCUUGGUCUGAGGCAAGACAGAUGGACAGGCUGAAACUUUAACACAACCGAUUAAACACAAUUUUCUAU